rnacentral:lncRNA from 1 species
UUUUGAGGGACUUUGUUUCCUUUCUCAGGAGCAGGAUUGGGUACGUUUCACUCCGUCGAUGCUGAAUUCUUUCACAUUGUAAUGGCAUGGCACGAUGAAGAAGCACAUAUAUACAUAUAUUGAACAUUCUGCACGUCUUGUAUCAAUCACACUAAUUCUAGCAGGUCCAAGGUACAGAAGUUUAUGAUGUAACUGAGAUAGAGAUCAUCAAUUGUAGUAGAUGAUCAAAUAGAUUUAUUUAUUCAACACGACAACAACAUAAGAAGAGAGCACUCGAACUGAGUACUCAUUACAUGCUUCCCCUGUUGAUUCUACACCAAUUCAAAGGGAAGCCGCAUAAGUCUUUUACACACAUAGGAAAUCAACCAUUAAAAGCAAACACAACAUAACAUAUUAAGGUAAUAAUAUAGGUGUCAUGGAUCCUGUGUCACGCCCUUAUUUAUUUAGCAUUAAUUUUUAACCUCAUCUCCGGAUGUAGCUUCAGUAGGUUGACAGCAUCUUUGGCAAUGUCCAUGGUACCAGUGGCAGCAACCAUGUCUGCAAGUCUCCGCAGCAGGUGGACAGCAUCUUUGGCAAUGUCCAUGGUACCAGUGGCAGCAACCAUGUCUGCACCGAUGUUCAGGGGUCUCCUCAGCAGGUGGACAGCAUCUUUGGCAAUGUCCAUGGUACCAGCGGCAGCAACCAUGUCUGCAACGAUGUUCAGGGGUCUCCUCAGCAGGUGGACAGCAUCUUUGGCAAUGUCCAUGGUACCAGCGGCAGCAACCAUGUCUGCAACGAUCUGCGGUUACGGUAUCCUCAUCUCCGGAUGUGGCUUCAGGGGUCUCCUCGGCAGUUU